rnacentral:pre_miRNA from 1 species
UAGACAGAUUUUUGUAUUCGACUCUAUUCAACUGUAUUCAUCGCGUGAAACAGAGGAUUACAACUAUUUUUAAACGAAAAGUGAAUCAAUUAACAUAAUAGACUCCU